GACGAACCGUGCGAACGUUGUUCGGAAUAACUGGGCAUAAAGGGCGCGUAGGCGGGCGGCUAAGUCCGCGGUGAAAUCCUCCAGCUCAACUGGAGAACUGCCGCGGAUACUGGUCGUCUCGAGGAACGUAGGGGUAUGCGGAACUAUCGGUGGAGCGGUGAAAUGCGUUGAUAUCGAUAGGAACUCCGGUGGCGAAGGCGGCAUACUGGACGUUUUCUGACGCUGAGGCGCGAAAGCCAGGGGAGCAAACGGG
rnacentral:rRNA from 1 species